AGCGACGCGCAAGUGGGCCGAAGGGCGACUCCUGCGCCGCAGGGACCCCAGCCCGGUCCCGGAAAGCUGUGC
rfam:Mycobacterium rhodesiae NBB3, complete genome.